UGCCGAGUUACUUGUAAAGCU
rnacentral:sRNA from 1 species